GGUGCAAGCCGAUUUGUCGCCGUUCCGUUUUAGCGGGAAGGAGGAAAGUCCGGGCAACAUAGAGCACCAUACUUCCUAACGGGAAGGGGUUUUAUAUCAAAGUAUAAGGCUACAGACAGUGCCACAGAGAAUAUACCGCCUUUAUAGCAAUAUAAGGGUAAGGGUGAAAAGGUGGGGUAAGAGCCCACCGGGCAGCAGGUGACUGCUGUUGCAUGGCAAACCUUAUGGGUUGAAAGAUCAAAUAGGCUCCGAGUGAAGGGUUGCUCGUCCUGCUCCCGCUCUGCGGGACCUCGGGGUGGGUAGAUCGAUAGAGCCUUAUCGUAAGGUAAGGCCUAGAUAAAUGACAAAUUGCCGCCUGUUUGCAGUGCGGUAACAGAAUCCGGCUUAUAGGCUUGCACUCUUU
rnacentral:RNase_P_RNA from 2 species